AGUGUAAUUGCUGGGCCAUAUGGUAAUUGCAUGAUUAGUUUUAUAAGAAACUGUCAAACUGUUUUCCAGAGUGUCUGUACCAUUUUAUAUUCCCAGCAGUAAU
rnacentral:pre_miRNA from 1 species